rnacentral:rRNA from 1 species
CCUACGGGAUGCAGCAGUGGGGAAUCUUGCGCAAUGGGGGAAACCCUGACGCAGCCAUGCCGCGUGGAUGAUGAAGGUCUUAGGAUUGUAAAAUCCUUUCACCGGGGACGAUAAUGACGGUACCCGGAGAAGAAGCCCCGGCUAACUUCGUGCCAGCAGCCGCGGUAAUACGAAGGGGGCUAGCGUUGCUCGGAAUUACUGGGCGUAAAGGGCGCGUAGGCGGACAGUUAAGUCGGGGGUGAAAGCCCGGGGCUCAACCUCGGAAAUGCCUUCGAUACUGGCUGUCUUGAGUACGGGAGAGGUGUGUGGAACUCCGAGUGUAGAGGUGAAAUUCGUAGAUAUUCGGAAGAACACCAGUGGCGAAGGCGACACACUGGCCCGUUACUGACGCUGAGGCGCGAAAGCGUGGGGAGCAAACAGGAUUAGAUACCCUCGUAGUC